GUCUAUCUCCUGAGUUCAAAGGACAAGCUUCUCUGAUAGGUGCUGGAUAGAGAGGGGCUUGACAGUGACCCCAGCCUCUUAAUGUCUGGGUAUCCUGAAAGAGCCUCUAAGAGCAUGCUAUCCGAAAACCUCAUGAAGGAGCAUCUCACAGGCGAUGGUGAUCCCACAGGCGAGUCACAGAAUCAUGUGACAUUACACGAUGAAGGUGAAGGCACUGAAGUUCAAGGAGAUGAAGUGAGUUACCUAAAAUCAACUCAUCGUCAGUUCCAGAGCCGGAACCAUGACCCAGACUUACUCCAACCCCCUUCCACUAUAAUGUGUAAAUUCAAGGGAAAAUUUCAUUUAAUUAAUUUAUUUAAUUAAGGCAGCUUCCUUCCCCCAACCCUAUAGAGCAACCCAAAACCCCACUUAAGCAGAAUUAACCAAACUAGUUCAAACCUAAUCCAGUUAAUGAAUCACCAGCUAAAAUUCUCCUCUACACUCCACACGUCAUGCAGGUCCACUGUGCCCACUGGAGUAGAAUAGUGACCAUGGUGAGCUCACUUCC
rnacentral:lncRNA from 1 species